UCGAAUGGGGCCUCGUGCCCCUCGACUCACAAACCAAGUGGAAGUGACCCGUGCUUCGGCGCUCCGGCGCCGCCUCGACGCUCAAGUCCGUCUCGUGUCUGAAUAAUAUAAGAAUCA
rnacentral:misc_RNA from 1 species